rnacentral:rRNA from 1 species
GAUCAUGGCUCAGGACGAACGCUGGCGGCGUGCUUAACACAUGCAAGUCGAACGGAAAGAGAUGAAAGAGCUUGCUCUUUUAUUAAUUUCAGUGGCAAACGGGUGAGUAACACGUAAACAACCUGCCUUAAGGAUGGGGAUAACAGACGGAAACGACUGCUAAUACCGAAUACGUUCUAAGCAUCGCAUGGUGCAUAGAAGAAAGGGUGGCCUCUACAAGAAAGCUAUACGCCUUAAGAGGGGUUUGCG